rnacentral:rRNA from 1 species
UGGGGAAUAUUGCACAAUGGGCGCAAGCCUGAUGCAGCCAUGCCGCGUGUAUGAAGAAGGCCUUCGGGUUGUAAAGUACUUUCAGCGAGGAGGAAGGCGUUGUGGUUAAUAACCGCAGCGAUUGACGUUACUCGCAGAAGAAGCACCGGCUAACUCCGUGCCAGCAGCCGCGGUAAUACGGAGGGUGCAAGCGUUAAUCGGAAUUACUGGGCGUAAAGCGCACGCAGGCGGUCUGUCAAGUCGGAUGUGAAAUCCCCGGGCUCAACCUGGGAACUGCAUCCGAAACUGGCAGGCUAGAGUCUUGUAGAGGGGGGUAGAAUUCCAGGUGGAGCGGUGAAAUGCGUAGAGAUCUGGAGGAAUACCGGUGGCGAAGGCGGCCCCCUGGACAAAGACUGACGCUCAGGUGCGAAAGCGUGGGGAGCAAACA